GGAAGUAGAGAGGAGACAUUUUUGAAAGUGGCAGUAGAUGAGGAAACCUUUAUAGAUCACAUGACCAAUGAAGAUGGAGAAGGCCCGGAGUCACGUGACUGAGAGGAUACUAAACCUCACCCUGGAGAUCAUCUACCUGCUGACCGGAGAGAGUUUGCCUCCUAUGAAGUCCGGUGACCAUGUGUUCAUCACAGUGCCUCCAUGUGACUCCCUAAAACCUGAGAGACACAACAUGGAGAAGAUUCUAGAAGUCACCGAGAA